rnacentral:rRNA from 1 species
UACGAAGGGGGCUAGCGUUGUUCGGAAUUACUGGGCGUAAAGCGCGCGCAGGCGGUUUUCCAAGUCAGUGGUGAAAGCCCGGAGCUCAACUCCGGAACUGCCAUUGAAACUGUUGAACUUGAGGACGAGAGAGGUGAGUGGAAUUCCCAGUGUAGAGGUGAAAUUCGUAGAUAUUGGGAAGAACACCGGUGGCGAAGGCGGCUCACUGGCUCGUUUCUGACGCUCAGGCGCGACAGCGUGGGGAUCAAACAGG